UGCUGUGAACUCGAAGAGUAGGGCGGGACACGUGGUAUCCUGUCUGAAUAUGGGGGGACCAUCCUCCAAGGCUAAAUACUCCUGACUGACCGAUAGUGAACCAGUACCGUGAGGGAAAGGCGAAAAGAACCCCGGCGAGGGGAGUGAAAAAGAACCUGAAACCGUGUACGUACAAGCAGUGGGAGCCUCUUUAUGGGGUGACUGCGUACCUUUUGUAUAAUGGGUCAGCGACUUAUAUUCUGUAGCAAGGUUAACCGUAUAGGGGAGCCGAAGGGAAACCGAGUCUUAACUGGGCGUUAAGUUGCAGGGUAUAGACCCGAAACCCGGUGAUCUAGCCAUGGGCAGGUUGAAGGUUGGGUAACACUAACUGGAGGACCGAACCGACUAAUGUUGAAAAAUUAGCGGAUGACCUGUGGCUGGGGGUGAAAGGCCAAUCAAACCGGGAGAUAGCUGGUUCUCCCCGAAAGCUAUUUAGGUAGCGCCUCGUGAACUCAUCUUCGGGGGUAGAGCACUGUUUCGGCUAGGGGGCCAUCCCGGCUUACCAACCCGAUGCAAACUACGAAUACCGAAGAAUGUUAUCACGGGAGACACACGGCGGGUGCUAACGUCCGUCGUGAAGAGGGAAACAACCCAGACCGCCAGCUAAGGUCCCAAAGUCAUGGUUAAGUGGGAAACGAUGUGGGAAGGCACAGACAGCCAGGAUGUUGGCUUAGAAGCAGCCAUCAUUUAAAGAAAGCGUAAUAGCUCACUGGUCGAGUCGGCCUGCGCGGAAGAUGUAACGGGGCUAAACCAUGCACCGAAGCUGCGGCAGCGACACUUAUGUGUUGUUGGGUAGGGGAGCGUUCUGUAAGCCGUUGAAGGUGUGCUGUGAGGCAUGCUGGAGGUAUCAGAAGUGCGAAUGCUGACAUAAGUAACGAUAAAGCGGGUGAAAAGCCCGCUCGCCGGAAGACCAAGGGUUCCUGUCCAACGUUAAUCGGGGCAGGGUGAGUCGACCCCUAAGGCGAGGCCGAAAGGCGUAGUCGAUGGGAAACAGGUUAAUAUUCCUGUACUUGGUGUUACUGCGAAGGGGGGACGGAGAAGGCUAUGUCAGCCGGGCGACGGUUGUCCCGGUUUAAGCAUGUAGGCGGAGGUUCCAGGUAAAUCCGGUACCUUGUUAACGCUGAGGUGUGAUGACGAGGCACUACGGUGCUGAAGUGAUAAAUGCCCUGCUUCCAGGAAAAGCCUCUAAGCAUCAGGUAACACGAAAUCGUACCCCAAACCGACACAGGUGGUCAGGUAGAGAAUACCAAGGCGCUUGAGAGAACUCGGGUGAAGGAACUAGGCAAAAUGGUGCCGUAACUUCGGGAGAAGGCACGCUGAUGUGUAGGUGAAGCCCCUGCGGGUGGAGCUGAAAUCAGUCGAAGAUACCAGCUGGCUGCAACUGUUUAUUAAAAACACAGCACUGUGCAAACACGAAAGUGGACGUAUACGGUGUGACGCCUGCCCGGUGCCGGAAGGUUAAUUGAUGGGGUUAGCGGCAACGCGAAGCUCUUGAUCGAAGCCCCGGUAAACGGCGGCCGUAACUAUAACGGUCCUAAGGUAGCGAAAUUCCUUGUCGGGUAAGUUCCGACCUGCACGAAUGGCGUAAUGAUGGCCAGGCUGUCUCCACCCGAGACUCAGUGAAAUUGAACUCGCUGUGAAGAUGCAGUGUACCCGCGGCAAGACGGAAAGACCCCGUGAACCUUUACUAUAGCUUGACACUGAACACUGGUCCUUGAUGUGUAGGAUAGGUGGGAGGCUUUGAAGCGUGGACGCCAGUCUGCGUGGAGCC
rnacentral:rRNA from 1 species